UGGACGUUGGCACAGUGCUGGGAUGACUAUGGAGACCCAAAUGUCUCAGAAUGUAUGUCCCAGAAACCUGUGGCUGCUUCAAUCAUUGACAGUUUUGCUGCUGCUGGCUUCUGCAGACAGUCAAGCUGCUCCCCCAAAGGCUGUGCUGAAACUCGAGCCCCCGUGGAUCAACGUGCUCCAGGACGACUCUGUGACUCUGACAUGCCGGGGGGCUCACAGCCCUGAGAGCGACUCCACUCAGUGGUUCCACAAUGGGAAUCUCAUCCUCACCCACACGCAGCCCAGCUACAGGUUCAAGGCCAACAACAAUGACAGUGGGGAGUACAGGUGCCAGACUGGCCAGACCAGCCUCAGCGACCCUGUGCAUCUUACUGUGCUUUCCGAGUGGCUGGUGCUCCAGACCCCUCACCUGGAGUUCCAAGAGGGAGAAACCAUCGUGCUGAGGUGCCACAGCUGGAAGGACAAGCCUCUGGCCAAGGUCACAUUCUUCCAGAAUGGAAAAUCCAAGAAAUUUUCCUAUUCGGAUCCCAACUUCUCCAUCCCACAAGCAAACCACAGUCACGGUGGUGAUUACCACUGCACAGGAAACAUAGGCCACACGCUGUUCUCAUCUAAGCCUGUGACCAUCACUGUCCAAGGUAUGGGGAGUCUGCCAAGAUGUAGGGAGGGGAGAAGAGGGGAUGGACAAGGGUUAAGGUCACAUGGGCCUACAUGGAGGCAGCAAAAUUGGGCACUGGAGCAAAGAGGAGUGGUGUGGAGGCCUGGCUAAGUAUUGACCAACAAGUAGGGGCCAGAGCUUGGAGCCCUCACCUCCCAGGUAAUAGGUAGUCAGGCUGUUGUUUCACUUUGAAAUGCAGGCCCCAGACUAAAGAUGGCAGCGAAGCAGAGCUCCCUCAC
rnacentral:sRNA from 1 species